ACACGUGGGUAACCUGCCUUAUAGUGGGGGAUAGCCUUUCGAAAGGAAGAUUAAUACCGCAUAAGAUUGUAGUAUCGCAUGAUAUAGCAAUUAAAGGAGCAAUUCGCUAUAAGAUAGACCCGCGUCGCAUUAGCUAGUUGGUGAGGUAAUGGCUCACCAAGGCGACGAUGCGUAGCCGACCUGAGAGGGUGAUCGGCCACAUUGGGACUAAGACACGGCCCAGACUCCUACGGGAGGCAGCAUG
rnacentral:rRNA from 1 species